rnacentral:rRNA from 1 species
UAGGGAAUCUUCCGCAAUGCGCGAAAGCCUGACGGAGCAACGCCGCGUGAGUGAUGAAGGUCUUCGGAUCGUAAAACUCUGUUAUUAGGGAAGAACAAAUGUGCAAGUAACUAUGCACGUCUUGACGGUACCUAAUCAGAAAGCCACGGCUAACUACGUGCCAGCAGCCGCGGUAAUACGUAGGUGGCAAGCGUUAUCCGGAAUUAUUGGGCGUAAAGCGCGCGUAGGCGGUUUUUUAAGUCUGAUGUGAAAGCCCACGGCUCAACCGUGGAGGGUCACUGGAAGCUGGAGAACUUGGGUGCAGAAGAGGAAAGUGGGAUUCCAUGUGUGGCGGUGAAAAGCGCAGAGAUAUGGAGGAACACCAGUGGCGAGGGCGAGUUUCUGGGCUGUAACUGACGCUGAUGUGCGAAAGCGUGGGGAUCAAACAGG